UGGUUGCUCUUUGAGCCAGCUUGGCCUUGCCUGGUAUGCACAGGCCCCAGGUACUGAGAAGCUGCUCCGAGUAAGUUUGUCUUGGGCCAAAUUCUAAGUCUGGCCAGGGCCACAGAAGGCCGAGUCCCCUGGGUGGUAAUCCUGGCUGCUGCAGGGGGGCCCAUGGUCCCCCUCCCCUCCCAGGGCUCAGGAUGAGGUCCGACUGGGACAGGAUGCUUUAGGUAUGGGACUUGUUCCCCACUGACCAUGUCUUCCUAACCAGGCCCACACUUAAUAGGCCUCAUGGGCCAGACCCCACUGACCAAUUUUCCACUGACCUGGUCCCCAUUGACAAGACAGGGUUCCCACUGACAAGACCACAAUUUACCAGGUUGCUGCUCAACCGACCCCCCACUGAACAAUUCUCCAUGAACGAGUACCCAGCUGACUGAGCCCCCUCUGACCAGGCCCUCACUGACCAGGCUCCAAGCCACUAAGGCCCCACACUGACCAGGCCCGUGAUAUAUUGUGUAUGCCCCACCAACCAGUUUUUCAUUGUUUAUGUUCCAACAGAUCAGGCCCCACUAAUAAAGCCACCACUGACUAGGUCCCCCCACUGACCAGGCUUCCAGUGACUAGGUCACCAGGUCCCCACUGAUGAGGCCUUUACUGAGGAGGCCGCCACUAACCAGGCCCCUGCUGAUCAGGUCCCAAAUGACCAGGUCCUGAUGACCAGGUCAUCUCUGACCAUGGUCCACUGACCAGGCCCCGGAGCAACGGGGUUCAAAGUCUCAUUACAAUGUCCCCCUCAGCUCAUAGACCCUCCCUCCCUGCAUGUGUGCCCAGAAGUCAGGCCCUGGGGUUUUUUUUUGGGACGUGGCCUUUCCUCCAAGACACAGGGAGAGACAGUUGGCCUCAGGCUCCAGGUUCCCAGCUCCACACUCACCCCAAAGGCCCUCUGGGCCCGUCUCAAAGGAGAAAGUGAGGUGGCCUGACACUGCCUGGACACACCAUCUACCCUAUUCCUGAGUGUCAGGGUGUGAGGAAGGGAGGGACAUUUGGUAGAUAAGGCACGCUGUGCUGUUGGGUCUCUCAGGGCCCUUCCCACAGAGCCCCGAUCUAAAGACAGAACACAGAGGCUACAGGAAGACUAAUCCAGAACCUCUGAGACAGCCAGGGACCACAUGAGGACUCUCCCCAGACAGCCAGAAGGCCCUUUGCUAGUUUCUUGGUACUUCAGUGGAUGUGGCAGUGGUUCUUCUGUUGGGGACCAGUGAGUACACACUGGGGAGGGCUCACCUGUGCUUCCUCAGUGGCUCCACCUCUGCUUCUAAAAAAAAUGACUCAUUCCAGAGCUGGCGCAGAGAAAAUACAAGCUGAGCUUAGAACAUCUUCUGCCAGAAA
rnacentral:lncRNA from 1 species